GAUUUCUGGCUUGAAACAUUUUGCCGGCCACGGUUUCGUGUGUUAGUGCUUGAUGUUCUGGCCAUCCUUCCAAUUGCUGUACGUUUUUCUUCAUUGAUUAGCGUGCGGUAUUGGAUCUUUUACUUUGAAAAAAUUAGAGUGUUUCAAGCAGGCUAUUGCUAUGAAUACAUUAGCAUGGAAUAAUAAUUUAGGACUUCGGUUCUAUUUUGUUGGUUUCUAGGACUGAAGUAAUGAUUGAUAGGGAUAGUUGGGGGUGCUAGUAUUCAGCGGCCAGAGGUGAAAUUCUUGGAUUCGCUGAAGACUAACUUAUGCGAAAGCAUU
rnacentral:rRNA from 1 species